rnacentral:rRNA from 1 species
ACGCUCGACACCUACAGGAGGCAGCAGUGGGGAAUAUUGCACAAUGGAGGAAACUCUGAUGCAGCGACGCCGCGUGAGCGAAGAAGUAUUUCGGUAUGUAAAGCUCUAUCAGCAGGGAAGAAAAAGGACGGUACCUGACUAAGAAGCCCCGGCUAAAUACGUGCCAGCAGCCGUGGUAAUCUGAGCGGGCUGGCAAGGC